GCCGCGCAGGGGCACUCUGUCAGUGGCGGACGGGUGAGUAACGCGUAGGUAUCUAUCCUGAGGUGGGGGACAACCGUGGGAAACUACGGCUAAUACCGCAUGAUGCCUGAGGGCCAAAGGCGUAAGUCGCCUUGGGAGGAGCCUGCGUCCGAUUAGCUUGUUGGUGGGGUAAUGGCCUACCAAGGCUCCGAUCGGUAGCUGGUCUGAGAGGAUGAUCAGCCACACUGGGACUGAGACACGGCCCAGACUCCUACGGGAGGCAGCAGUAGGGAAUAUUGGACAAUGGGCGAAAGCCUGAUCCAGCAAUGCCGCGUGGGUGAAGAAGGUCUUCGGAUUGUAAAGCCCUUUCGGCGGGGACGAUGAUGACGGUACCCGCAGAAGAAGCCCCGGCUAACUUCGUGCCAGCAGCCGCGGUAAU
rnacentral:rRNA from 1 species